rnacentral:snRNA from 1 species
GAUCGUAAUUGUACUAGAU